rnacentral:tRNA from 1 species
GGUAGCCGAGCCGCCGGAUGGCGGCCGCCUCCGCCGCGGUGGCCGUGACCAGCACGGAGCCGGUGGCCACCUCC